AUUGACCGCUGGCGGCAGGCCUAACCCAUGCAAGUCGAACGAGUGGCGGACGGGUGAGUAAUGUCUGGGAAACUGCCCGAUGGAGGGGGAUAACUACUUGAAACGGUAGCUAAUACCGCAUACCCUCGGAUGUGCCCAGAUGGGAUUAGCUCGUAGGUGUGGUAACGGCUCACCUAGGCGACGAGCCCUAGCUGGUCUGAGAGGGUGACCAGCCAAACUGGAACUGAGACACGGUCCAGACUCCUACGGGAGGAAGCAGUGGGGAAUAUGGCACAAUGGGCGAAAGCUUGAUGCAGCAAUGCCGCGUGUAUGAAGAAGGCCUUCGGGUUGUAAAGUACUUUAAGCGAGGAGGCGUUACUAGCAGAAGAAGCACCGGCUAACGACGUGCCAGCAGCCGCGGUAAUUC
rnacentral:rRNA from 1 species